rnacentral:lncRNA from 1 species
GUUGUUGUUGUGGAGAAAUUGUAGGAAGAAACCAAGGCUAUAUGGGGGGAAAGGGAGAGUUGUGCUGUAUAGGGACUUUAGGCACUCUUGAAUUCAGUUUUCGGGGUGUUUUUCUUUUGAAAAUAGGUUGGUUUGUGUGAGGGAACUUGUUUUUGGUCAUAUUUUUGUUACUUUUCUCUGCUUUUAGGUUUUGGGAGGUUGAAUUGGC